rnacentral:lncRNA from 1 species
UCUCUCUGUGGAUAUAUGUGUGUAUGUAUUAGCUUACUUGUUAAGCUGUAUAGAUAGAUAGAUAUAUAUGGGAUGCAACUCUGAUGGAUAGAUAAGCUCUCUCAAAACUAACAAUCUGCAGCUGCAACAACUAACUCCAAAAGCUAUCUAUCUAUAUAAACGAGCUUUUCUGCAGGUCUGUAUUUGUGCGGAUCGGAGUCUAUGAAGCCUGUAUUUAUGGAGUCUAUGAAAGAGAAAAUGAAAGGGGUGGUGGUGGUGGGUGUUUAAGGAUAUAUAUUUGUGACACUGAUAAUAAUAAUA